rnacentral:rRNA from 1 species
GAUGAACGCUGGCGGCGUGCCUAAUACAUGCAAGUCGAGCGAACAGAUGAGGAGCUUGCUCCUCUGACGUUAGCGGCGGACGGGUGAGUAACACGUGGAUAACCUACCUAUAAGACUGGGAUAACUUCGGGAAACCGGAGCUAAUACCGGAUAAUAUAUUGAACCGCAUGGUUCAAUAGUGAAAGACGGUUUUGCUGUCACUUAUAGAUGGAUCCGCGCCGCAUUAGCUAGUUGGUAAGGUAACGGCUUACCAAGGCAACGAUGCGUAGCCGACCUGAGAGGGUGGUCGGCCACACUGGAACUGAGACACGGUCCAGACUCCUACGGGAGGCAGCAGUAGGGAAUCUUCCGCAAUGGGCGAAAGCUUGACGGAGCAACGCCGCGUGAGUGAUGAAGGUCUUCGGAUCGUAAAACUCUGUUAUUAGGGAAGAACAAAUGUGUAAGUAACUAUGCACGUCUUGACGGUACCUAAUCAGAAAGCCACGGCUAACUACGUG